CGCAGUUUAUAAGCAUAAAUCGACUUCGUAGAUCCACAAUGAACAUACUAGUAGUUCUUUUUGUUUUAUGCAGUUUUGGAAUUGUUGACUGUUUCGUCAAGAUAGAAAAUUACCAGGAUUCUGUUUACAUAAUAAAGGGAUACUCCAGGUAUCGUAGAUUUUAUCCAGCAUCAAAUAUAACCGUUUUUGAACCGAGAAACUAUGAUUUCAUGUCAGAUGUAAUAUGGAGUAAAGUCGAUGGUGUUAACAAGCAAGGACAUUUAGUGCGGUUAUUCAAGUAUGAUGACAACGAUCUAUAUCCGACCUUACAAUACUAUUUUACAAAUGAAGAGUACUACCAGAAUAUAUCAAAAACUAUCAUUAAAGAGAUGACUGACCAUCCUGUCUUCCAUGUAAAGCUGUAAAUGUUUUAGAUGUUGACGUUCUACAUGUACAACCAGACUGUACCAUUUAAAAACAAAAAUAGAUUUAAUUUAUUCGUUUUAUUGUUUUUUGUUGCUGUUUCUUGUUUUAAUUCUGUUGUGUUUCUUUCGUUUACCUGCUUACUGUAAAACUUGCAAUAAAAAAAACACAGAUUCAUUACUAUUUAACCGGAAGUCAUGGCAAUUGUUUGGAUUUGUAGCCUAGUUGUAUAUGUUUUAGUUCUCAAAUCACCUCUUUGGGACCGAGAUCUCGGAUAUUGUUUUUAUUUCAGGGUUGUGGUCAGCUCUUCGAAAACCCAGUCUAUCCACAACUCUUUUUACAUUAUUAUUAUUAUCAGCAAUUGCAUCAUUUUCAACAAAUCUGAGAACAGAUCGCCGAAGUCGAUACCAUAAUUUGGCAUCAUUAAGGUCAUAGGUUACCAAAUUGAAACUACACCGACUGCGUCGAAAAAUUAAGGUGGAUCAUCGGUAUAUAUUACCUCAAAUAAAAUGUUCUAACACUAUGCCUAAAUGUAGAUUUUACCAUGCUUUUCUAUAAAAAUAUAAUAAAAAGUUUGGACCAACAAGUGGUGCAAAAUAACCAAAUUUUGCAAAGAUCACUCAUGAAAAAAACACUUUUUUGUAAAUAAAAAGAUAUCUGUGAGAUAGAAUUUUGAAAUAAAAGAUGAGAGGAUAGGUUUUAUAAUAUGCUUUAAGAAAAUAAGAGCUAUCUCCCCUUAAAUUGCAAAAAUUGCAAAAUUGAAAGAACAAAAACAAAUAUAUGGUAUAAAUAGUGCAAUAAAUCACUUAUUUUUCUUUAUUGAAAUUAACAGUCUUACAUGUAUUACUAGUAAUUGCCCAUCUGUCUAAAUAUUUCCAGAUUUAAACAAAGAACUAGACCAAUUGUGUACUGCUAUUUUACAAUCCAAGAUGGCUGUUUACAGUUAAUCUACCUUAAAAAAGGAAUUCUAUAGCUUCCAGCUACAAACAAACAUUUACUCCCAACGUUAACUGCACAGAUCGAUUAAAUCCGAGCGGCUAUGAACUUACAAUGUACGAACGCCUAUUUUGGUUGAUAUAGUCGAGCGUUUGAUUUUGUCAGGUUUUAUGGCGUUCUUCUAUUUGAUAAAAUUUAUGCUCGAUAAAAAAACAUAUGAAAUAAAAACAACUUAAUAUAUAAUAAUUUAUAUCAUUUGUGUAUUACAUAUAAAUAUAAGAAGAUGUGGUGUAGUAUGAUUGCCUAUGAAACAACUAUCCACAAGAGACCAAAUGACACAGAAAUUAACAACUAUGAGUCACCGUACGGCCUUCAACAAUGAGCAAAGCCCAUAUCGCAUAUCUAUUUUAAUCGGUUAUCCCGAUACUGCUUAACAGCCUGGAACCUGGUUAGAGUUGGUAUAUUAUGUACUGGUCGUGGUAACUGAAAAAUAUUGUACUUUUCCUUUAUUGUAUUUAGUAAAGCAUUUGCAAUAAA